rnacentral:rRNA from 1 species
UACGUAGGUGGCAAGCGUUGUCCGGAUUUACUGGGCGUAAAGAGCGCGCAGGCGGUCGUGCAAGUCGCGUGUGAAAGCCCCCGGCUCAACUGGGGAGGGUCACGCGAUACUGUUCGACUCGAAGGCAGGAGAGGGAAGUGGAAUUCCCGGUGUAGUGGUGAAAUGCGUAGAUAUCGGGAGGAACACCAGUGGCGAAGGCGACUUCCUGGCCUGUUCUUGACGCUGAGGCGCGAAAGCUAGGGUAGCAAACGGG